ensembl:snRNA U1 U1 spliceosomal RNA
AUACUGACCUGGUGGGGGACUUACAAUGAUCACAAGCAUGGUGUUCUCAGGGCGAGAUCCAUCCAUCGCACUCGGAUGUGCUGACUUGUGCAAUUUCCCCAAAUGUGGGAAACCCAAUGUCAUAGUUUGUGGUAGUGGGGGGCUGCACUUGCGCUCUCUUA